AAAUAUUGAAGCAAAAAUUUGCAUUUAAAUUCGACUUAAAAAUUUGAGAACAUUUCUCCUUAUUUA
rnacentral:tRNA from 1 species